GAGACUGCCGGUAAUAAACCGGAGGAAGGUGGGGAUGACGUCAAAUCAUCAUGCCCCUUAUGACCUGGGCUACACACGUGCUACAAUGGUUGGUACAACGAGUUGCGGGUCGGUGACGGCAAGCUAAUCUCUUAAAGCCAAUCUCAGUUCGGAUUGUAGGCUGCAACUCGCCUACAUGAAGUCGGAAUCGCUAGUAAUCGCGGAUCAGCACGCCGCGGUGAAUACGUUCCCGGGCCUUGUACACACCGCCCGUCACACCACGAGAGUUUGUAACACCCGAAGUCGGUGAGGUAACCUUUUGGAGCCAGCCGCCUAAGGUGGGAUGUCGACGCGGCCG
rnacentral:rRNA from 1 species